rnacentral:lncRNA from 1 species
UUUUUUUUUUUUCCCACUGUACAAAGAUUCAACAAACUUUAGACGAGAAAAAGAAGUUCCAGAGCUCCUGUCGUGGCUCAGCGGUUUACAAACCCAGCUAGUAUCCAUGGCAACAUGGUUUGAUUCCUGGCCUUGCUCAGGGGUUUAAGGAUCCAAGGUUGCAGUGAGCUGUGGUAAAGGUCACAGACUCUACUUGUAUCCCACAUUGCUGUGCCUGUGGUGUAGGCCAGCAGCUUCAGCUCCGACUCAUCCUUUAGCCUGGGAACCUCCAUGUGCCACAGGUGUGGCCCUAAAAAGACACACACACACACACAAAGAAGUUCCUAAAGUCUGACCCAUUUUCCGUCAAACCACUCAACACUGGGGGUGCACUGGCAAAGUGACAAAAAGUGAUAUGGGUAACUUAUAAAAGAAGACCAUGUAGCAAAGGUGGGGGGAACUUACAGAAUUGAAGGGAAUGCAGAGGACCCUGACUUGUAGUAAACAAGAAGUGGGGGGUGUUGCAGUCUGAAUAGUGACCCCCAAAUUCAUAUGUUGAAUCCCUAAUCCCCAGUACCCCAGAAUGUGUGACUGCCUUUGGGCCUUUAAAGAGGUGAUUAAGUUAAAUACGGCCAUUUGCUGGGGGGUGAGAGUGGACAACCUAAUCCAGUUUGACUGGUGUCCUUAGAAGAAGAGAUUAGGACACAUGGACACCCGGAAACCAGGGAUGUGGGCACAGAGGAAAGAGCAUGUGAGAGCCCAGGGAGAGGGCAGCCAUCUGCAAGCCUAGGAGAAAAGACCUCAGAGAAAACCAGACCCGCCAACACCUUGAUCAUGGGCUUCUAGCUUCCAGAACUGUGAGAAGUGUUUUUUAAACCACUCAGGCUGUGGUAUUUUCUUAGGGCAGCCCUUGCAAACUAAUAAGUGGUCUUGACAGUAAGCUCUUGAAAAUUAUCUGAGGAAUAAAUGGGUAAAUUUCCACCAAUGUCUCUCCUCGCAUUGACGUCCAGGUAGAAAGAAUCCCAUUAGCAGAGCUCAGAUUCAGGUCAUGUACACUCAUCCCCACUAGGUUGUUGAGAUGACUGACUUGUCCAGAGCCCAGCAGUGGACUCCACUCUGGUCCAUGAUGGAGAGAACAGAAAACCUUAAGUCUCACCAACUGCACACGGUUAGCAGGGAGGGAUUCUCCAGUGGGGAAUCCAGGUGUGGUUAAGGGCAGAUUCUGAAAUGAACCAAAAGUGACAGAUAUUCUCUAUAUUAUGUUUUUGAUAAACCAUUUGAAAAUAAACUGAUCUGAUUUUGAAACUUGACCGUUUUGCUUUUCCGAUAGAAAAUCUAAAUUCAGUUUUGAAGGCAUGCCAUCUAUUUUUUUAAAUAUGAAAAUUUUAUUUAUUUAUUGUUUAGGUCCACAUUUACAGUAUAUGCAAGUUUCCAGGUUAAGGGCCAAAUCAGAGCUGCAGCUGCCAGCCUACACCACAGCCGUGGUAACUUGGGAUCCAAGCUACAUCUACAAACCACACCAUAGCUCAUGGCAAUGCCAGAUACUUAAUGCACUGUGUGAGGCCAGGGAUCAAAUCCACAUCCUUGUGGUUACUAGUCAGGUUCAUAACCACUGAGCCACACCAGGAACUCCCUAAAAAUUUUAAAUAUGAAAUGAAAUCAACCUUUGCUUUUGGGUUUCAUUCCAUCUCCAUCAUACCAGUCUGCCUUUAGCAUAUCAUUACAAAUCCUGUUGGACCUGUUCUCGCUAACCACUCAGGGCCAAGUCUUUCUGUAAAACCAGACUUUAGUAUCUGAUAAUAUAAUUUCCUUUAUCAUCUUUUUUUUUAAAUGCUGUUUUCACAUUUUAGUUGACAGAACUUUUAUGUAAAAUGUCAAGAGCAUUCUGUGCUUUGUUAAACCUUUGCCUGAAAAUCAGCCAUGUUUUCAAGUGACCUUGGGGAGUCGAUCUUUAGAAAGACAGCAGCUUAUUUCACGGAUAAAAAAUUGGGGCUCAAACUCUCACAUUGAAACCAAGUUCCUUGGCUGAGUUUAUGAUUAACCUCUCUAUCCAAAACUUUAUUUCUUUUCUUGUCCUACACAUGUUCCCCUCAAGAUUAAAGAGCAACAAAGAUAAGGGGGGAUUGAAACCAGUCAGGACCCUGUGGAGCCCUCCCAGGUACAAAAGCCUCUCCAUACCCACCCCCCUUUUUAGGCUCUACCCACAGCAUAUGGAAGUUCCUGGGCCAGAGAUUGAAUCCAAGUCUCAGCUUCAGCCCACACCACAGCCUUCAACCCACUGUACCAGGCCCAGGAUCCAACCCAUGCUUCCAUAGCAACCCAAGCCACUGCAGUCAAGUUCUUAACCUACUGUACCACAACAGAAACUCCAUGUCCCACAUUUUUUGUAUAUAGAAAAAGGCUUUAGUCUCACUAGGCCUCCCCUGAGUUCCACAGAGAAGCCACAGGCAGCUACUAAUUAAGGAAGUGAGAGAAUGCAGAAACAAAGGAAAAACAAUUUUAAAAAGUAAUGACAAUACUUUGCCAAUAAAACAGUCUUCAUUUCUCACCAAGCAAUAUACAUAAUAUCUGAUGGAUAUCUUUGAGUUGUUCUUCAAGAACUAAGACACUCACCACCACCCCCAGGUAUAGAAUGGUGGCUGCUUGCUGACCACAAGCACAUAGAACCUAGACUGGUUGACACCAGAAGGUUGAUGGUUGAGAUUCCCAAAACCCCACCCUGUUAUUUCACCAACAACCAGUGAAAAGAAAGUCAUGCAUUCUACAGCCCUCACUUCAAAUAUUGCCUUUAAAAACACUCCCCCAACCCUCCUACACUGUUGGUGGGAAUGUAAACUGGUACAACCACUAUGGAAAACAGUACGGAGGUUCCUCAGAAAACUAAAUAUAGAACUACCAUAUGAUCCAGCAAUCUCACUCCUAGGCAUAUAUCCAGACAAAGCAUUCAUUGAAAAAUAUACAUGCACCCACCCCCAUGUUCAUUGCAGCACUAUUCACAAUAGCCAAGACAUGGAAACAACCUAAAUGUCCAAUGACAGAUGAAUGGAUUAAGAAGAUGUGUUAUAUAUACACGAUGAAUUACUACUCAGCCAAAAAAAAAAAAAAAGCAAAAUAAUGCCAUUUGCAGCAACAUGGGUGGAACUAGAGACUCUCAUACUAAGUGAAGUAAGUCAGAAGUAGAAAGACAAAUGCCAUAUGAUCUCCCUUAUAUCUGGACUCUAAUAUACAGCACAAUGUUCCUGUCUACAGUAAAGAAAAAAAUUCAUGGAUGUGGAGAACAGACUUGUGAUUGCCAAGAGUGAGGGGGAAGAAAUGGGAUGGACUGGGAGUUUGGGGUUAGUAGAUGAAAACUAUUGCAUUUGGAAUGGAUAAGCAAUGAGAUUCUGCUGUAUAGGCCAAGGAACUACAUCUAAUCACUUGUGAUGGAACGUGAUGGAAGCUAAGGUGAAAAAAAGAAUGUGUAUAUAUAUAUAAACACACACACAUAUAUACAUAUAUAUGUAUGUAUAACAGGUUACUUUGCUGUUAGAAGAAAUUUUGAUAGAACAUUGUAAAUCAACUAUAAUAAAAAUGAAAAAUUAAAAAAAUACUCCCCUGAAUACCAUCCAGGACUUCGGGUCUUUUGAGCAUGAAUUGCCCAUACUCCUUGCUGGGCUCUGCAAUAAAAUGAUGUACUUUCCUUCACCACAACCCAGUGUCAGUAAAUUGGCUUUGCUUCAAGGUGGGUGAGUAGACCCAAGUUCAAUGUGAUAAAAACAGCAGAUGCCAUCAAUUCAAAGAAAGCUCCUUCACCUUGCAUGUAGAAAGAUCUUUCGAGACAGUGUGUAGUAAGUCAAGAUUUGAUUAUUAAAACACAACCACUACAUCUCUGUGAUGAAAGAAAACUUUGUGAUCUGAGAGGCCAAUGGAGAGAAUCUGAAAAAAUUUUGUUUUAUGCAAGAAAAAUUAUUACUAUCUUUAGAAAACAGGACGUCAUCUUUUUGCUCUUUAUACUGAAAUAAUAUUUAAGAAUCUAAGACUUUAACUGUAUAAUUAUUUUCUCAAGUCCAGAUACCUUUAUAAAUUUGUUUAUGCUGGGUAAUGUUUGGAUGAGUUUUACAAUCACUGCUAUGAUACAGCACAGUGAAAUAUAGUGCUUUUGUUUACAUAGGGUCUGCAUUAAACCACACUUCUCCAGUCUUUCUCUUAUUUUUAUCGUUUACUAAGUAUGUGACCUUGAGCAAGUUACCUAUAAUAUUGUGAUUUGUAGUAAGAAAAAUAUACAUUGGGUUUUCAUCUUUGGUUUAGGCACAGAACUUUUAAAACACUCUUGAAAUUUCCUGAGUGUUAAGAGGGAUAAAGGUGUCUUUUGUUAUGUCAAUGAGGUGACUUUUAAAAGCCCCUAGAAACCUAAGAAUGAUUGCCAGGGAACCAACCAUGUGGCCUGAUGGAAGAGUUGCAAGUUUCACAUCUAGCCACUACUUCUAGGGGCUAGAGAUUGAGUUUGAUCACCAGUGACCAAUGAUUUAAUCUGUCGUGCCUGUGUAAUGAUGCCUCCAUUACAAAAAAAAGGUGGGGAGGGGUUCAGAGAGAGCCUCCAGGUUGUUGAAUACGUGGAGA